UGCAGUCGAGGGGUAACGGGGAAGCUUGCUUCCGCCGACGACCGGCGCACGGGUGCGUAACGCGUAUACAAUCUACCUUAUACUGGGGUAUAGCCUUUAGAAAUGAAGAUUAAUCCCCCAUAGUCUCUUAAAGUGGCAUCACUUAAGGAGUAAAGGUUACGGUAUAAGAUGAGUAUGCGUUCUAUUAGUUUGUUGGUGUGGUAACGGCACACCAAGACUACGAUAGAUAGGGGCCCUGAGAGGGGGAUCCCCCACACUGGUACUGAGACACGGACCAGACUCCUACGGGAGGCAGCAGUGAGGAAUAUUGGACAAUGGAGGCAACUCUGAUCCAGCCAUGCCGCGUGCAGGAUGACUGCCCUAUGGGUUGUAAACUGCUUUUAUACAGGAAGAAACUUACACACGUGUGUGUAACUGACGGUACUGUAAGAAUAAGGAUCGGCUAACUCCGUGCCAGCAGCCGCGGUAAU
rnacentral:rRNA from 1 species